rnacentral:rRNA from 1 species
AGAGCGAAUGGUGGAUGCCUUGACUGGUAAAGGCGAUGAAGGACGUACUAGACUGCGAUAAGCUACGGGGAGCUGUCAAGAAGCUUUGAUCCGUAGAUUUCCGAAUGGGGCAACCCAAUGUAUAGAGAUAUACAUUACCUAUAUAGGAGCGAACGAGGGGAAUUGAAACAUCUUAGUACCCUCAGGAAAAGAAAUCAAUAGAGAUUGCGUCAGUAGCGGCGAGCGAAAGCGCAAGAGGGCAAACCCAGUGCUUGCACUGGGGGUUGUAGGACUGCAAUGUGCAAGAGGUGAGUUUAGCAGAACAUUCUGGAAAGUAUAGCCAUAGAGGGUGAUAGUCCCGUAUGCGAAAAACAAACCUUAGCUAGCAGUAUCCUGAGUAGGGCGGGACACGAGAAAUCCUGUCUGAAGCUGGGUCGACCACGAUCCAACCCUAAAUACUAAUACCAGAUCGAUAGUGCACAAGUACCGUGAGGGAAAGGUGAAAAGAACUGAGGUGAUCAGAGUGAAAUAGAACCUGAAACCAUUUGCUUACAAUCAUUCAGAGCACUAUGUAGCAAUACAGUGUGAUGGACUGCCUUUUGCAUAAUGAGCCUGCGAGUUGUGGUGUCUGGCAAGGUUAAGCAAACGCGAAGCCGUAGCGAAAGCGAGUCUGAAUAGGGCGCUUAGUCAGAUGCUGCAGACCCGAAACGAAGUGAUCUAUCCAUGAGCAAGUUGAAGCUAGUGUAAGAACUAGUGGAGGACUGAACCCAUAGGCGUUGAAAAGCCCCGGGAUGACUUGUGGAUAGGGGUGAAAGGCCAAUCAAACUUCGUGAUAGCUGGUUCUCUCCGAAAUAUAUUUAGGUAUAGCGUUGUGUCGUAAUAUAAGGGGGUAGAGCACUGAAUGGGCUAGGGCAUACACCAAUGUACCAAACCCUAUCAAACUCCGAAUACCUUAUAUGUAAUCACAGCAGUCAGGCGGCGAGUGAUAAAAUCCGUCGUCAAGAGGGAAACAACCCAGACUACCAGCUAAGGUCCCUAAAUCUUACUUAAGUGGAAAACGAUGUGAAGUUACUUAAACAACCAGGAGGUUGGCUUAGAAGCAGCCAUCCUUUAAAGAAAGCGUAAUAGCUCACUGGUCUAGUGAUUUUGCGCGGAAAAUAUAACGGGGCUAAAGUAAGUACCGAAGCUGUAGACUUGACUUUGUCAAGUGGUAGGAGAGCGUUCUAUUUGCGCCGAAGGUAUACCGGUAAGGAGUGCUGGAGCGAAUAGAAGUGAGCAUGCAGGCAUGAGUAGCGAUAAUUAAUGUGAGAAUCAUUAACGCCGUAAACCCAAGGUUUCCUACGCGAUGCUCGUCAUCGUAGGGUUAGUCGGGUCCUAAGUCGAGUCCGAAAGGGGUAGACGAUGGCAAAUUGGUUAAUAUUCCAAUACCAACAUUAGUGUGCGAUGGAAGGACGCUUAGGGCUAAGGGGGCUAGCGGAUGGAAGUGCUAGUCUAAGGUCGUAGGUGCUUAUACAGGCAAAUCCGUAUAAGAAUACACCGAGAACUGAAAGGCUUUUUGAAGUCUUCGGAUGGAUAGAAGAACCCCUGAUGCCGUCGAGCCAAGAAAAGUUUCUAAGUUUAGCUAAUGUUGCCCGUACCGUAAACCGACACAGGUGGGUGGGAUGAGUAUUCUAAGGCGCGUGGAAGAACUCUCUUUAAGGAACUCUGCAAAAUAGCACCGUAUCUUCGGUAUAAGGUGUGGUUCGCUUCGUAUUAGGAUUUACUCCGAAAGCGAAGAAACUUACAACAAAGAGUCCCUCCCGACUGUUUACCAAAAACACAGCACUCUGCUAACUCGUAAGAGGAUGUAUAGGGUGUGACGCCUGCCCGGUGCUCGAAGGUUAAUUGAUGGGGUUAGCAUUAGCGAAGCUCUUGAUCGAAGCCCGAGUAAACGGCGGCCGUAACUAUAACGGUCCUAAGGUAGCGAAAUUCCUUGUCGGUUAAAUACCGACCUGCAUGAAUGGCGUAACGAGAUGGGAGCUGUCUCAAAGAGGGAUCCAGUGAAAUUGUAGUGGAGGUGAAAAUUCCUCCUACCCGCGGCAAGACGGAAAGACCCCGUGGACCUUUACUACAGCUUGACACUGCUAUUUGGAUAAGAAUGUGCAGGAUAGGUGGGAGGCUUUGAGUAUAUGACGCCAGUUGUAUAUGAGCCAUUGUUGAGAUACCACUCUUUCUUAUUUGGGUAGCUAACCAGCUUGAGUUAUCCUCAAGUGGGACAAUGUCUGGUGGGUAGUUUGACUGGGGCGGUCGCCUCCCAAAUAAUAACGGAGGCUUACAAAGGUUGGCUCAGAACGGUUGGAAAUCGUUCGUAGAGUAUAAAGGUAUAAGCCAGCUUAACUGCAAGACAUACAAGUCAAGCAGAGACGAAAGUCGGUCUUAGUGAUCCGGUGGUUCUGUGUGGAAGGGCCAUCGCUCAAAGGAUAAAAGGUACCCCGGGGAUAACAGGCUGAUCUCCCCCAAGAGCUCACAUCGACGGGGAGGUUUGGCACCUCGAUGUCGGCUCAUCGCAUCCUGGGGCUGGAGCAGGUCCCAAGGGUAUGGCUGUUCGCCAUUUAAAGCGGUACGCGAGCUGGGUUCAGAACGUCGUGAGACAGUUCGGUCCCUAUCUGCCGUGGGCGUAAGAAGAUUGAAGAGAUUUGACCCUAGUACGAGAGGACCGGGUUGAACAAACCACUGGUGUAGCUGUUGUUCUGCCAAGAGCAUCGCAGCGUAGCUAAGUUUGGAAAGGAUAAACGCUGAAAGCAUCUAAGCGUGAAGCCAACUCUAAGAUGAAUCUUCUCUAAGCUCUCUAGAAGACUACUAGUUUGAUAGGCUGGGUGUGUAAUGGAUGAAAGUCCUUUAGCUGACCAGUACUAAUAGAGCGUUUGGCUUAUCU